GGGAGGGGAGGGGUGCCGGCGGAGGUGGCGCGGUGUUUAGGGCCGCUGGGUGGGGCGGAGCCUUUGGUGGUGGAGGCGGCGCGGAGGCUUAGGGUAGGCACAGGCGCGGCCGAGGCAGAGGCAGAGGCAGAGGCACAGGCACAGCACCCGCCACUCGGCCACUGCUGGGCAUGGGACGGGGCUCAGCCCCUCCCCGCCGGCUCCGAAAAAUAGGAAGGGCGGGGUAUACCCGGCCAGCGGUCGAUAUAUAAUGAUGGUCGAGCAGCUGGCCGCCUUCCCGUAGCCGAGCGCAACCGCACUCGAGAGGUCUAGACGGCGCCUGCGAGCGGAGCACAUCUAGGGCUGGCCUAGAGCCGCGCCGCAGCCCCAACCGGGUCACCCAAGAGAGGAGAGGAGGGGCCCGCAGAGAGGCAGGCAUCGAUCGCGCACGCGCCCACCGGACCUCUCGGUCGGUCCCAAACCCAUUUAGAAUAACCUUCUCAAAAGGACAUGUACAUUAAAGACAAUUUUCUACUGAAGUGACUUAUUUCAACAAGGUUUAUUGCCACUACGUUCCAGUUACAAUGGUUUAUUUCAGUGAAGUAAUUUAGGGUUACGUCGUCUCAAACAGGGAAGUACACAAUAAUCUGGUAGGAUACCAUUAUCGUGUCGAAGUCUACGUUCAUUCAGACUUGAAUCCCCCAGGGGACCUUUUUUUUAAGAUCUAUCCAGACUCAGCAGGUUCAGAUUAUUGAGUCUGCUACUCCGUGUGGUCAAGACCGCAUUCGUCGAGGGUCUACUAUAAUAAGGUCUGAAGUGAAGAAAGCUCUUUUAGCUUGUACUUGGACUUCUUGACAGGGAACGACCUAAUAGGAACUUACGUGGAGGCAAGAUACCCUGUUUUCGAUCGGCGAACAGUUCUCUUGUGGUUCUCAACAGAAGAAGUCGAUCGUUGGACCUUGAACCCGUAUGGUUAAAUAAAAUGCUCCUAUUAAGUGUCCGUUGGAAAAGUUGACAACCAAGUUCGUUGACCCUCGUUUUAAUGCACCCACUGGAGGUGAAACGAUUACUUUUAGUCCUGGAAGUCAUACUAGGAUGGUGCCCGAAAUGACUCUCAAAACGAACACUCAUGCAACGUCGUAGUCUACCGGAAAAACUGGGGGAUCUCAUAAAUCGCAGAGUCAAAGGACCUAAAAGUCGUCUCUCAGAACGCCUCGACAUGAUACGUUUACCUACACUGAAGUUAGUAUGAUAACUUUAAGAGUGGGUCGAUCUCUACGUUCACCUAGGAUGAAGGUUAGUCUGUUACUUAAACUGGGGGUCGAGUGGUUUGAAAUCAUGCCCCCUGAAAGGACGGGACGGUUGUCGUCUUCUAGUUUUGCCAAAGAGGUUCCCUCUAUACCUAUAGGAACCGAAGAAGUCACCCGCGUUAAGAAGGUGGUAUAGAUCACCGUGACCACUAAAACAAAGUCGACAAGCCUUUGAACGUAGUGUCUUAAGACCGGUAUUGUUCAAGUUUUUCCCAGGACUAAUGCCGUUACCACAAAGAUGGCAAAGACAUGGGUUCGUCAUGUCAAAACCAAGAUUUUGUAGAAGACCCUUGUUCAUAGUUUUACAAUCAUCACGUGCACGUUGACGUUGAGGUACCGAACUAUGACCGCUGCGUCAGCGUUUGUACAUAAGUCUUAGCUCCCUUCUUCGAGCACUAAAACGGGCACAGGCUUUACGUACAAAACUCGUCCGAUCUGUUCGAAUGGAUUAACCGUUGUUUCGAGACCGGUUCCUUGAUUCGUAGUUUCCAGUCCGGAUAUUGAGCGUUUACUUUCGUCGAGUACUCUUUCGAUCUCUUCGAUAAAUAGCUGUCUCCUUGGGACCAAGAAACGUUGCCCCCUCACUAGCAGACUAACUAGAUGUGCCGGAGGUGCACUCGCUUCGUUAGGUAUAGGACUUCCAGCUCGAGCCGAGGGACUCCCCGUACCGCUCCCGAAGUCCGCUUUCCUACGUUCAGUACCAUACGCAGCCUUGUCCGGUGGUGUGGUUCCCGAGAGCGUGGCGCUCCGACGGGUAGCGGCAGCUCGUCAAGGAAGACCUGCUUCCCGAGGUAAUGUGCGUUGGAGUCGGGCCGGACGAAGCACAGCGGCACAUGAUUGUAGUAGAGAAUCCAUUCGUGGUGUCUCUUUUCGUUGGGUGUUUUUUUCUCCUCUUUCUCUACGUCCUCUUUUUGAUUUUUCCACGCGACAACCUCGUGAACAUUCAAGAACCAUCAACAUAUAAUUUUCCUCGGUCGUCCUCUUAUCGGACUGUUUUGUCUUAUGUCACAUUUUAAUAUGUAUCUAGGUAAGUUAAGUGUAAGGUAAGGGGAAGACGGCACG
rnacentral:rRNA from 1 species